AAAUUGAAGAGUUUGAUCAUGGCUCAGAUUGAACGCUGGCGGCAGGCCUAACACAUGCAAGUCGAACGGUAACAGGAAGCAGCUUGCUGCUUUGCUGACGAGUGGCGGACGGGUGAGUAAUGUCUGGGAAACUGCCUGAUGGAGGGGGAUAACUACUGGAAACGGUGGCUAAUACCGCAUAACGUCGCAAGACCAAAGAGGGGGACCUUCGGGCCUCUUGCCAUCAGAUGUGCCCAGAUGGGAUUAGCUUGUUGGUGAGGUAACGGCUCACCAAGGCGACGAUCCCUAGCUGGUCUGAGAGGAUGACCAGCCACACUGGAACUGAGACACGGUCCAGACUCCUACGGGAGGCAGCAGUGGGGAAUAUUGCACAAUGGGCGCAAGCCUGAUGCAGCCAUGCCGCGUGUAUGAAGAAGGCCUUCGGGUUGUAAAGUACUUUCAGCGGGGAGGAAGGUGUUGUGGUUAAUAACCGCAGCAAUUGACGUUACCCGCAGAAGAAGCACCGGCUAACUCCGUGCCAGCAGCCGCGGUAAUACGGAGGGUGCAAGCGUUAAUCGGAAUUACUGGGCGUAAAGCGCACGCAGGCGGUCUGUCAAGUCGGAUGUGAAAUCCCCGGGCUCAACCUGGGAACUGCAUUCGAAACUGGCAGGCUUGAGUCUUGUAGAGGGGGUAGAAUUCCAGGUGUAGCGGUGAAAUGCGUAGAGAUCUGGAGGAAUACCGGUGGCGAAGGCGGCCCCCUGGACAAAGACUGACGCUCAGGUGCGAAAGCGUGGGGAGCAAACAGGAUUAGAUACCCUGGUAGUCCACGCCGUAAACGAUGUCUACUUGGAGGUUGUGCCCUUGAGGCGUGGCUUCCGGAGCUAACGCGUUAAGUAGACCGCCUGGGGAGUACGGCCGCAAGGUUAAAACUCAAAUGAAUUGACGGGGGCCCGCACAAGCGGUGGAGCAUGUGGUUUAAUUCGAUGCAACGCGAAGAACCUUACCUGGUCUUGACAUCCACAGAAGAAUCCAGAGAUGGAUUUGUGCCUUCGGGAACUGUGAGACAGGUGCUGCAUGGCUGUCGUCAGCUCGUGUUGUGAAAUGUUGGGUUAAGUCCCGCAACGAGCGCAACCCUUAUCCUUUGUUGCCAGCGAUUAGGUCGGGAACUCAAAGGAGACUGCCAGUGAUAAACUGGAGGAAGGUGGGGAUGACGUCAAGUCAUCAUGGCCCUUACGACCAGGGCUACACACGUGCUACAAUGGCGCAUACAAAGAGAAGCGACCUCGCGAGAGCAAGCGGACCUCAUAAAGUGCGUCGUAGUCCGGAUUGAGUCUGCAACUCGACUCCAUGAAGUCGGAAUCGCUAGUAAUCGUGGAUCAGAAUGCCACGGUGAAUACGUUCCCGGGCCUUGUACACACCGCCCGUCACACCAUGGGAGUGGGUUGCAAAAGAAGUAGGUAGCUUAACCUUCGGGAGGGCGCUUACCACUUUGUGAUUCAUGACUGGGGUGAAGUCGUAACAAGGUAACCGUAGGGGAACCUGCGGUUGGAUCACCUCCUUA
rnacentral:rRNA from 1 species